CAUCCCCCACACUCCAUCUCCUCGUCUCUCCAAGUAAACAAUGCCUCAUUAUUGUUCAAGACAAUUCUCACAGUGUUAAUUGCCGGGGUCACACAGCUAGCGCACCACAGCCACGGAAACCAUAGAAACGUGUCUAAGCUACAUCUGUCUGCCUACCACUCGUUAUCCUUGACAUUGGGAAAGUCGGCUACUUGAAAGCAGAGGGAAUAUCUUCCAUGUGCAAAACCGGACUAUGUUACAUCUCUAAUCAUCAGUUAAUGAUCCAAGCAUGUCUGCAGAGCGUCUGUCCCGGCCCUUCCAGCCCCAUGCAAGCAGUUGUCUUCUCCCAUCAGGCUUGGCACAUACCAAAGGUGUGUCCAGUCUAGCUUGUCAAGAGGACCCCCUUUGCAUCCUGGACUUCUUGACGGGCCGCCCCCAGCUGGUGAGGGUAGGCAAUAACACCUCCCCAUGCUGACUCUCAACAUGGGGGCCCCCUAGGGUGUAUACUUCAUCCUCUUCUAUACUCCUAGUUUGUUAUUGGGGUGGCAGGUAGCGUAGUGGUUAGAGCGUUGGACUAGUAACUGAAAGAUUGCAAGAUCAA